UACAGAGGGGGCAAGCGUUGUUCGGAAUUACUGGGCGUAAAGGGCGCGUAGGCGGCCCGCUAAGUCGAACGUGAAAUCCCCGAGCUCAACUCGGGAACUGCGUCUGAUACUGGAUGGCUUGAAUCCGGGAGAGGGAUGCGGAAUUCCAGGUGUAGCGGUGAAAUGCGUAGAUAUCUGGAGGAACACCGGUGGCGAAGGCGGCAUCCUGGACCGGCAUUGACGCUGAGGAGCGAAAGCCAGGGGAGCAAACGGG
rnacentral:rRNA from 1 species